GUAGCAAGUUAAGUGGGCUUGAUUGUGGAGGAAACUCCACAGUUAAGCAUGCUUGAGCCAGAGGUGUCUUGGGAUGGGUGAUCACCUAGGAAUUCUUGGUUACUGGGUGCA
rnacentral:rRNA from 1 species